GCUUUCGAUGGUAGUGUAUUGGACUACCAUGGCUCUCACGGGUAACAGGGAAUUAGGGUUCGAUUCUGGAGAAGGAGCCUGAGAAACGGCUACUACAUCUACGGAAGGCAGCAGGCGCGUAAAUUACCCAAUCCUGACUCAGGGAGGUGGUGACAAGAUAUAACAAAGCGAGUAAAAUCGCUAUUGUAGUGAGGGUAUUCUAAAUAGAACCUAUAGUACGAUUGGAGGGCAAG
rnacentral:rRNA from 1 species